ACACCUCAAUAAACUUCCCCAGCUGGACUCCCACCAGGGCACCUCUGGGCACAGCAAAACAAUCUCACCUCAAGGGCCAUUUAGUAGCUUUUCUGGAGCUUUCAGUCAUGAUCUGAUAUGCACCUACAAAUCCACAGGAUCUGGGAAAAAGGUCAUGCACAGGAUAAUGUGAUCUGAUCAAAAGGUCCAGAACAACCACUAAAUGGACUUGAGGUAAGGCUGUACCUCAGCGGACAGAAUUUUCCCCCUCUCCUGUUUCCACCUCCUUUUCAUGUCAGGACCAAUAUGGGACACCAUCUGCCUCCCCCUAAUAAGGACAGAGUCUUCUCCAGUUUCCCCAUACUUUUAUUACUUGGCCCGUGUGGGUGUUGAAUGAGUUAUUCGCCAAUCUUGCUGCAAGGAUCUGGAAACAUCCUCUGUUUAGACUGACAAACAAACUAAUAAUGAAAUCUUUUUUUUUUCCCCUGACAUUUUUUUACUGGAAGUGAAAGCCACCGUGGAAUGAAGUCGGUGUUUCUUGAGGACACACAGAUUUUCUUGUAACCACAAGGAGCA